AAAUUGCCAGAAAAUAAAACGUUUCUGCAAUUUAUAGCCAGAUAAUCGAUUAUGUGAGCCUGAUAAUCGAUUAUCUGGGCCUUCUGGAAUCUCAAAUUUUGCUGGAAAUUUAGAAUAAUCGAUUAUGCUUUUAGGAUAAUCGAUUAUCUUGGCUCUUUGGAAUUUCCAAUUUUUUCUGAAAAACUCCAGAUAAUCGAUUAUUCUGGCUGAAUAAUCGAUUAUCCUGCAGUGUUGUUUCAAAAAAGUUUCAAUAAUCGAUUAUUCAAAAUGCAUAGUCGAUUAUUUGCUGCUUCUGUUUUGCAAAAUUUUG
rnacentral:lncRNA from 1 species